rnacentral:rRNA from 1 species
AACUUGACUAAUAAGGAUUAGUUUUUUAGCUAUUUAUAGCUAAUUAACACAAUCCCGGGGCGUUCUAUAUAGUUAUGUAUAAUGUAUAUUUAUAUUAUUUAUGCCUCUAACUGGAACGUACCUUGAGCAUAUAUGCUGUGACCCGAAAGAUGGUGAACUAUACUUGAUCAGGUUGAAGUCAGGGGAAACCCUGAUGGAAGACCGAAACAGUUCUGACGUGCAAAUCGAUUGUCAGAAUUGAGUAUAGGGGCGAAAGACCAAUCGAACCAUCUAGUAGCUGGUUCCUUCCGAAGUUUCCCUCAGGAUAGCUGGUGCAUUUUAAUAUUAUAUAAAAUAAUCUUAUCUGGUAAAGCGAAUGAUUAGAGGCCUUAGGGUCGAAACGAUCUUAACCUAUUCUCAAACUUUAAAUGGGUAAGAACCUUAACUUUCUUGAUAUGAAGUUCAAGGUUAUGAUAUAAUGUGCCCAGUGGGCCACUUUUGGUAAGCAGAACUGGCGCUGUGGAUGAACCAAACGUAAUGUUACGGUGCCCAAAUUAACAACUCAUGCAGAUACCAUGAAAGGCGUUGGUUGCUUAAAACAGCAGGACGGUGAUCAUGGAAGUCGAAAUCCGCUAAGGAGUGUGUAACAACUCACCUGCCGAAGCAACUAGCCCUUAAAAUGGAUGGCGCUUAAGUUGUAUACCUAUACAUUACCGCUAAAGUAGAUGAUUUAUAUUACUUGUGAUAUAAAUUUUGAAACUUUAGUGAGUAGGAAGGUACAAUGGUAUGCGUAGAAGUGUUUGGCGUAAGCCUGCAUGGAGCUGCCAUUGGUACAGAUCUUGGUGGUAGUAGCAAAUAAUCGAAUGAGACCUUGGAGGACUGAAGUGGAGAAGGGUUUCGUGUGAACAGUGGUUGAUCACGAGUUAGUCGGUCCUAAGUUCAAGGCGAAAGCCGAAAAUUUUCAAGUAAAACAAAAAUGCCUAACUAUAUAAACAAAGCGAAUUAUAAUACACUUGAAUAAUUUUGAACGAAAGGGAAUACGGUUCCAAUUCCGUAACCUGUUGAGUAUCCGUUUGUUAUUAAAUAUGGGCCUCGUGCUCAUCCUGGCAACAGGAACGACCAUAAAGAAGCCGUCGAGAGAUAUCGGAAGAGUUUUCUUUUCUGUUUUAUAGCCGUACUACCAUGGAAGUCUUUCGCAGAGAGAUAUGGUAGAUGGGCUAGAAGAGCAUGACAUAUACUGUUGUGUCGAUAUUUUCUCCUCGGACCUUGAAAAUUUAUGGUGGGGACACGCAAACUUCUCAACAGGCCGUACCAAUAUCCGCAGCUGGUCUCCAAGGUGAAGAGUCUCUAGUCGAUAGAAUAAUGUAGGUAAGGGAAGUCGGCAAAUUAGAUCCGUAACUUCGGGAUAAGGAUUGGCUCUGAAGAUUGAGAUAGUCGGGCUUGAUUGGGAAACAAUAACAUGGUUUAUGUGCUCGUUCUGGGUAAAUAGAGUUUCUAGCAUUUAUGUUAGUUACUUGUUCCCCGGAUAGUUUAGUUACGUAGCCAAUUGUGGAACUUUCUUGCUAAAAUUUUUAAGAAUACUAUUUGGGUUAAACCAAUUAGUUCUUAUUAAUUAUAACGAUUAUCAAUUAACAAUCAAUUCAGAACUGGCACGGACUUGGGGAAUCCGACUGUCUAAUUAAAACAAAGCAUUGUGAUGGCCCUAGCGGGUGUUGACACAAUGUGAUUUCUGCCCAGUGCUCUGAAUGUCAAAGUGAAGAAAUUCAAGUAAGCGCGGGUCAACGGCGGGAGUAACUAUGACUCUCUUAAGGUAGCCAAAUGCCUCGUCAUCUAAUUAGUGACGCGCAUGAAUGGAUUAACGAGAUUCCUACUGUCCCUAUCUACUAUCUAGCGAAACCACAGCCAAGGGAACGGGCUUGGAAUAAUUAGCGGGGAAAGAAGACCCUUUUGAGCUUGACUCUAAUCUGGCAGUGUAAGGAGACAUAAGAGGUGUAGAAUAAGUGGGAGAUAUUAGACCUCGGUUUGGUAUCGUCAAUGAAAUACCACUACUCUUAUUGUUUCCUUACUUACUUGAUUAAAUGGAACGUGUAUCAUUUCCUAGCCAUUAUACGGAUAUAUUUAUUAUAUCUUAUGGUAUUGGGUUUUGAUGCAAGCUUCUUGAUCAAAGUAUCACGAGUUUGUUAUAUAAUCGCAAACAAAUUCUUUAAUAAAACGAUGCAUUUAUGUAUUUUUGAUUUGAAAAUUUGGUAUAACUCCAAUUACUCAGGUAUGAUCCAAUUCAAGGACAUUGCCAGGUAGGGAGUUUGACUGGGGCGGUACAUCUCUCAAAUAAUAACGGAGGUGUCCCAAGGCCAGCUCAGUGCGGACAGAAACCACACAUAGAGCAAAAGGGCAAAUGCUGACUUGAUCUCGGUGUUCAGUACACACAGGGACAGCAAAAGCUCGGCCUAUCGAUCCUUUUGGUUUAAAGAGUUUUUAACAAGAGGUGUCAGAAAAGUUACCAUAGGGAUAACUGGCUUGUGGCGGCCAAGCGUUCAUAGCGACGUCGCUUUUUGAUCCUUCGAUGUCGGCUCUUCCUAUCAUUGUGAAGCAAAAUUCACCAAGCGUUGGAUUGUUCACCCAUGCAAGGGAACGUGAGCUGGGUUUAGACCGUCGUGAGACAGGUUAGUUUUACCCUACUAAUGACAAAACGUUGUUGCGACAGCAUUCCUGCGUAGUACGAGAGGAACCGCAGGUACGGACCAAUGGCACAAUACUUGUUCGAGCGAACAGUGGUAUGACGCUACGUCCGUUGGAUUAUGCCUGAACGCCUCUAAGGUCGUAUCCGUGCUGGACUGCAAUGAUAAAUAAGGGGCAAUUUGCAUUGUAUGGCUUCUAAACCAUUUAAAGUUUAUAAUUUACUUUAUAAACGACAAUGGAUGUGAUGCCAAUGUAAUUUGUAACAUAGUAAAUUGGGAGGAUCUUCGAUCACCUGAUGCCGCGCUAGUUACAUAUAAAAGCAUUAUUU